GGCAGAAUUUCUGAUAGCCAAAUGUCUAAAUUAUUUCUUUCUUUUCAUGACUCAUCAUGUCAACAAAUCUGUAUAAAUUAGCAUUCAAAUGUUCAGUAAUUUGCAAAGCCCAAAACCCUAUCUGCAAUAAUUAGUUUACUCAAAUUGGGUAUUUUACCAUUGAUUUUUUUUUUGGGACCUUUGGACCUCCAUAUCCAUAUAAUUCGAGCUCUAUGCUUCAUCUAAAAUACCCACAAGCAUUACCAAUUCAAUACCCAGAAAUUUGUAAAACCCGAAACCCGAAUUUGCUUAAUUUCUCUCUCCCUUACCUGUUGUUUCGGGCAGCCAAGCCCUGCUUCUUCCGCCUCCUCUUUCCGCCUCAACAAGAACCGCACGCCACCGGUGCUCCGUCGUAUUGGUGCUGCACCUGAGAUUAUUGCAAAGCCGUCAAAAUUUCGAGCCUCCAUUUCUCUGCUUCACGCUGCUACGCUGCUUCCUUCUAAUUCAUAAUCUCCUUAUGGCAACCCAACCAAAAAUAAAAAUAAGAGUUGUUAGUGGGCCACGGGUUUUAUUUUAAAGAUCAUUUUGUUUGGGCUUGUUCAGAGUAUAUGAAGGAAGUCUAAGUAAUCAAUAAACAUAAGGAAAUAAGUGGACGUGAACAAAGUUUCAGAUAUAAUGACUAGAGAUCAAAUCGGAUGAUUAAGGAUAAGUGAUCGAGGCACGAUUAAGGAGCUCAAGUUGCUCAAAUGAGAGUUAUUAGUGGAGUUGGUAUUUUAUUACGGAGAUACGAUAUCGAGCUGAGAGAUUAUUUAUUAUGGAAAUCCGGUUAUUGAGGUUGUUAUAAGAAUAUUGAUUUAUAUUUAUUUUUGGUAAUAUUGUAUUAUUUAAGAAAUGUUAAUUGAGGAUUAUUUUAUUUGUGGGCCCAUACCCACAGGUCCCAGGAUUAAUUAUGCCUAAUUCCGCUGCAAGUGAUCAGUUAAGUGCGGUUUAUUACCGAUAAUUAAGGAGCCGAAAAGUCGGGGCGUUACACCCACUAACAAGGGUAACUGAAAAUCGCGAGUCACCAAAACUCCGAUCAAAUUACUACACUUAACGCUCGCCCUACAAGCGCCCGUUACACAGUCUAUGUCGUUCCAAAGCAAAAGCGAAAGAAAAAAUCAAGGAUAAAAAAAAAGAAAGAAACAUCUAUGAAUCCUCGUAUCGAACGAAGUAAUAAGCCAUGCACACCCACGCAGAAAGUGCUACACUUGUUCGAACACCUGAACGAGGCGUGAUGAAAUACUCCAAUGCAAAAAAAUAAUGAUGAUAUAUCCCAACACCUGGAGGAAUGUUCUAAGACACGCUGUUAGGCCACACAAGCCUAUGUCGCACCAUAAGUUCAACCAUCCCACGGUACAAGUCUAAAAAAAAAAAAAGAGUAAGGCAUAUUGCACUAAUGCGGGCACGACCAAGAGCAUGUGUAAAAGAGGAAAAGACUACUUAUCCCCAAAUUCAAAAUGCAAGCCACACGACUUCUACAUUAAGGAUUAAAGGUAGCAAAAUAUUACCUACCACGGAAGGGAUAGCUCGCACCUACACGAGCGGAACCCCAAGGCAUCUUUCUCGAAAGAACUUACAAAAAUCGUACGCCAAAAGAAAGCAUCCCAACAUGCAUGCUUAGGGGGCUCCAAGCUACGAAACGACCAUAGAAAAAUAAAAAAAAGAGUCUCAAAGCAAAUGUUUGAACGAUCAAAAGGGCACGAUGCUUGAGCCCACUUCAUGAAUGGGCCUGAACCCUAUCAAGCUUCUAAGCGAAUUAUUCAACAUCAGUCAUUGCUA